rnacentral:rRNA from 1 species
GUGGGGAAUAUUGGACAAUGGGGGAAACCCUGAUCCAGCAAUGCCGCGUGAGUGAUGAAGGCCUUCGGGUUGUAAAGCUCUUUUAUCAGGGAAGAUAAUGACGGUACCUGAUGAAUAAGCUCCGGCUAACUUCGUGCCAGCAGCCGCGGUAAUACGAAGGGAGCUAGCGUUGUUCGGAAUUACUGGGCGUAAAGGGCGCGUAGGCGGCCUUGUAAGUUAGAUGUGAAAGCCCCGGGCUUAACCUGGGAACUGCAUUUAAGACUGCAAAGCUAGAGGACGAGAGAGGAAAGUGGAAUUAUGAGUGUAGAGGUGAAAUUCGUAGAUAUUCAUAAGAACACCAGUGGCGAAGGCGACUUUCUGGCUCGUAUCUGACGCUAAGGCGCGAAAGCGUGGGGAGCAAACAGGAUUAGAAACCCCUGUAGUCC